GGAGAGGUCGCAUAGCUGGCCUAGUGCGCCCGUCUCGAAAACGGGUAUGGUUAACACCAUCGUGGGUUCGAAUCCCACCCUCUCCG
rnacentral:tRNA from 1 species